UUUGAAAUGGCGAACCCAUUUCACUGAUUCAACGGUGUGAUCAAUGUGUAUGGCUUUAGAUGCAAAAUUUGAUGAAUUUCAUUUUUAUUACGUAUUACUUCAUUGCAUUGGUUCAACUACCUUCCUGCUACCUUCCUCGACACUGGUCAUAGAUCGAAAUAUCAUCAUUAUACACAAGCAAAGUGCUACUUAAAUAUAUCUUCAAUAACUUCUAUUCAAACUAAUAUUUGUCCCUUUUCUCGAUUGGUACUUUCAGACAUGUAUGCCAUUUUCGGCAGCAUAUUACAUAUUACAUCAUGGCAUUACAUAUACAUCAUUUGUUUCCAGUUUCUUGCUACAUUAUCUAGGCUCAAAUACAUGUUACCUUCCCCAAUACUGGUCAGCGCUUCAAAAUUAAUAAAUGCAUUGUUUUGUAAGAAAUUCAUCAUGCACAAGCAGUGCAUAUUUCUCAAAAUAGUUGUAAGUGUGUGUGUAAAAAGAUCUUUACAAACUAAAUUUUGAAUAGACUUAAUAUACUUAUAUUUAAACUACUAUUUGUUCUUUUUUAUGAUUGGUACUUUUAUUUAAGUUUAAACCAUUAAUUUCUUUACAAAUUUUAAAAGCAACAGGAAAGCAAGCAAACGUCGGCAAGCCUAAGUUCAUAUACCCUUGCAGCUUUUGCAAAAAUGAAAUAUUCUUAAAAACAUUUAAAAUAAGAUUUGUUUGGGUAUAUGCUUAAAACAUUGACGCUAUGAUGCUUUUCAGG